rnacentral:rRNA from 1 species
AGUGAACGCUGGCGGCAGGCCUAACACAUGCAAGUCGAGCGGCAGCGCGGGGGCAACCCUGGCGGCGAGCGGCGGACGGGUGAGGAAUGCAUCGGAAUCUACCUCGUUGUGGGGGAUAACCUCGGGAAACCGGGACUAAUACCGCAUACGACCUACGGGUGAAAGUGGGGGACCUUCGGGCCUCACGCGAUGAGAUGAGCCGAUGCCGGAUUAGCUAGUUGGCGGGGUAAAGGCCCACCAAGGCGACGAUCAUUAGGGGUUCUGAGAGGAAGGUCCCCCACAUUGGAACUGAGAAACGGUCCAAACUCCUACGGGAGGCAGCAGUGAGGAAUAUUGCACAAUGGGCGCAAGCCUGAUGCAGCAACGCCGCGUGCGGGACGACGGCCUUCGGGUUGUAAACCGCUUUUCUGAGGGACGAGCGAGGACGGUACCUUAGGAAUAAGUCUCGGCUAACUACGUGCCAGCAGCCGCGGUAAGCUGUAGUCGU